AGCAGUAGCGGUAACACGUAGGGGGCAAGCGUUAUCCGGAAUUACUGGGUGUAAAGGGAGCGUAGACGGUUAAACAAGUCUGAAGUGAAAUGCCGGGGCUCAACCCCGGAGCUGCUUUGGGAACUGUAGAACUGGAGUGUCGGAGGGGUAAGCGGAAUUCCCAGCGUAGCAGUGAAAUGCGUAGAUAUUGGGAGGAACACCGGCGGCGAAGGCGGCUUACUGGACGACAACUGACGUUGAGGCUCGAAGGCGUGGGUAGCAGACAGGAUUAGAUACCCCCGUAGUCCCUGUCUCUUAUACACU
rnacentral:rRNA from 1 species